rnacentral:rRNA from 1 species
CCUACGGGAGGCAGCAGUAGGGAAUAUUGCUCAAUGGGGGAAACCCUGAAGCAGCAACGCCGCGUGGAGGAUGAAGGUUUUCGGAUUGUAAACUCCUUUUGUUAGAGAAGAUAAUGACGGUAUCUAACGAAUAAGCACCGGCUAACUCCGUGCCAGCAGCCGCGGUCAUACGUAGGGUGCAAGCGUUACUCGGAAUCACUGGGCGUAAAGAGCGCGUAGGCGGGAUAGCAAGUCAGAUGUGAAAUCCUAUGGCUUAACCAUAGAACUGCAUUUGAAACUGUUAUUCUAGAGUAUGGGAGAGGUAGGUGGAAUUCUUGGUGUAGGGGUGAAAUCCGUAGAGAUCAGGAGGAAUACUCAUUGCGAAGGCGGCCUGCUAGAACAUGACUGACGCUGAUGCGCGAAAGCGUGGGGAGCAAACAGGAUUAGAUACCCGAGUAGUC